GACGAACGCUGGCGGCGUGCCUAAUACAUGCAAGUAGAACGCUGAAGGAGGAGCUUGCUCUUCUGGAUGAGUUGCGAACGGGUGAGUAACGCGUAGGUAACCUGCCUGGUAGCGGGGGAUAACUAUUGGAAACGAUAGCUAAUACCGCAUAACAGUAGAUGUUGCAUGACAUUUACUUAAAAGGUGCAAUUGCAUCACUACCAGAUGGACCUGCGUUGUAUUAGCUAGUUGGUGGGGUAACGGCUCACCAAGGCGACGAUACAUAGCCGACCUGAGAGGGGGAUCGGCCACACUGGGACUGAGACACGGCCCAGACUCCUACGGGAGGCAGCAGUAGGGAAUCUUCGGCAAUGGCCGGAAGUCUGACCGAGCAACGCCGCGUGAGUGAAGAAGGUUUUCGGAUCGUAAAGCUCUGUUGUAAGAGAAGAACGAGUGUGAGAGUGGAAAGUUCACACUGUGACGGUAUCUUACCAGAAAGGGACGGCUAACUACGUG
rnacentral:rRNA from 1 species